rnacentral:rRNA from 1 species
CCUACGGGAGGCAGCAGUGGGGAAUAUUGCACAAUGGGGGAAACCCUGAUCCAGCGACGCCGCGUGAAGGAAGAAGUAUUUCGGUAUGUUAACUUCUAUUAGCAGGGAAGAAAAUGACGGUACCUGACUAAGAAGCUCCGGCUAACUACGGGCCAGCAGCCGCGGUAAUACGUCGGGGGCAAGCGUUAUCCGGAUUUACUGGGUGUAAAGGGGGCGUAGGCGGGGUUGCAAGUCAGCAGUGAAAGCCCGGGGCUCAAAUCCGGGACUGCUUUUGAAACUGUGUUGCGAGAUUGGAGGAGAGGUAGGUGGAAGUCCUGGUGUAGCGGUGAAAUGCGUAGAUAUUAGGAGGAACACCAGUGGCGAAGGCGGCUUACUGGACUGUAAAUGACGCUGAGGCUCGAAAGCGUGGGGAGCAAACAGGAUUAGAUACCCGGGUAGUC